CCUACGGGUGGCAGCAGUGGGGAAUAUUGGACAAUGGGGGCAACCCUGAUCCAGCCAUGCCGCGUGUGUGAAGAAGGCUCUCGGGUUGUAAAGCACUUUCAGUGAGGAAGAACGCCUGGUGGUUAAUACCCAUCAGGAAAGACAUCACUCACAGAAGAAGCACCGGCUAACUCCGUGCCAGCAGCCGCGGUAAUACGGAGGGUGCGAGCGUUAAUCGGAAUUACUGGGCGUAAAGCGCGCGUAGGUGGCUUGAUAAGCCGGUUGUGAAAGCCCCGGGCUCAACCUGGGAACGGCAUCCGGAACUGUCAAGCUAGAGUGCAGGAGAGGAAGGUAGAAUUCCCGGUGUAGCGGUGAAAUGCGUAGAGAUCGGGAGGAAUACCAGUGGCGAAGGCGGCCUUCUGGACUGACACUGACACUGAGGUGCGAAAGCGUGGGUAGCAAACAGGAUUAGAUACCCCAGUAGUC
rnacentral:rRNA from 1 species